GUCAGUGUAAACAUUCUGAACUUAAUAUUGAAUGGAUAGUCUUCUUGAACAAUAGUUCAUUCACCCUUUUUGCCCAGGCAUUGAAAUGCCUAUUAAGAGAGAGGAGGAAAGAGUUAGAAUGAGAAGCAGAGGAAAAGAUACAUUUUUGUCCACCAAAUCCUUUUCAAGUCUGUUUGAGCUCUAGCACUGCAGCCACCCACUGAGAGAUCAUAGCAGAAUUCAACUUCUUGUGGAUGGACUGCAGCAAGUCCUUUUGCAGUUGUAUUCAUCAAAGUGCUAUGCAGAAAUAAUGGGAUUAGAUUUAAAAAAUACAUUUGUAAGCCUCGGCGCACUGUGGGUGAUGAAAUAAACGGGGGGAAAGCAGAUGCUUGGGUCUGGAAUGCCUUCCGCAGCCUGAAACAAUUUUAGGGUGGAGAGGAACGAACAGCCAGAGAGGGAUGUAUUGAGAGGGCGAACAAAGAGGAAUGUGUGAUAUAUGGUGGAUUUAUACAUUCAGUAAUGCCUAUAUGUUUGUGGUGCGAGAUCAGACGCUUUGCUACUUUAGUAUUAUUUUUAGUAUUUAUUAAUAUUGUGAAUUAGCUUUUUUGGUAACACUUUAGAUUAGGGAAUACACAUUCACUAUUAACUAAGAGUUUUCCCUCAAUAAACUAUUAAUGACUGCUUGUUGAUAGUAAGAAAGGUAGUUGUUGUAGUAGUUAUGUAAAGAUUUUGGGUAUAAGGAAUCUAAAAUAUGGUCAUGCAGAAUAAGGUAUUAAUAUGUGCUAAGUACUAUUAAACAGCCAAUAUGCCAGUAAUAUGCAUGCUAAUAAGCAACUAGUUAAU
ensembl:lncRNA